UACGUAGGGGGCAAGCGUUGUCCGGAUUUAUUGGGCGUAAAGAGCGUGUAGGCGGCCAGGUAGGUCCGUUGUGAAAACUCGAGGCUCAACCUCGAGACGUCGGCGGAAACCCUCUGGCUAGAGUCCGGAAGAGGAGAGUGGAAUUCCUGGUGUAGCGGUGAAAUGCGCAGAUAUCAGGAAGACACCCGUGGCGAAGGCGGCUCUCUGGGACGGUACUGACGCUGAGACGCGAAAAGCGUGGGGAGCAAACAGG
rnacentral:rRNA from 1 species